UGAGGAAUAUUGGGUCAAUGGGCGAGAGCCUGAACCAGCCAAGUAGCGUGCAGGAUGACGGCCCUAUGGGUUGUAAACUGCUUUUAUAAGGGAAUAAAGUGGGUCACGUGUGACUUUUUGCAUGUACCUUAUGAAUAAGGACCGGCUAAUUCCGUGCCAGCAGCCGCGGUAAUACGGAAGGUCCGGGCGUUAUCCGGAUUUAUUGGGUUUAAAGGGAGCGUAGGCCGGAGAUUAAGCGUGUUGUGAAAUGUAGGCGCUCAACGCCUGCACUGCAGCGCGAACUGAA
rnacentral:rRNA from 1 species